GCCGAAACCUUGGGAGGCGUGGCUGGCACCCGGUACCGCACUGGCCCCACCGAACCACUCUGCAACUUUUUUUUCUUUUUUUGAAACUAUCAUGGGCCAACAUGGUCACAGCUCGUAAUGUAUAACUAUAAGUGGGCAACAUUAUAUCACUGAACCAUUUUUCUUAAAACAUGAAUACACAUGGGUCAUCAAGGCCUCUGACAUACUGUACAAAAUGAACCUCUAUCUACAAAGCCUCUAAGAUUAUUUGACAUCAAAUGGGACAGGGUACCGGCCUACCCAUAAGUUUGUAGCAAAAUUCUGACAAGAAGACACAUAGACUCGGCUGCACUCUGAAUAAGGUGGAGUCUUACCGAUCCUUAGCUGAAUGCUGACCUCAUGUACUAUGAGGGCUCGUCAAACUGAUUGUCUAUACCUGCAGGCAUGAAUGCAGCGUCCCCAACAAAAGGACAUCAGUACAAAUAAUGUACCGAGUAUGUAAGGCACAUAAAUAAGUAUAUAAAAGACAUGGAAGAAACAUGGAGUAAAUGACUCAACCUGUAAGUCUGGAUAACUUUGUAAGUCUGGAUAACUCUGUAAAUCAUGAAAUACUUAUAGUGUCAUACAUAUGCGUAUGAAUGUCAUGUCGUGCAUAGGUACAUGUGUUCAUAACAUCAUCAAGACUAUGAGGACAUCUCAUAGUAUCAUCUCGGCCACUGUGGGCAAAAUAAUCAACGUAUACCAGCUGAUCAGGUGGUGGUGUGUAUAUAAUGCAGUAACCUUUUUCCAUAUCCCUUAUACAUAUAUACGUGUAUAAAACGCCAUGUGGUCAUGAGUCAAUGCGUUAAUAGGAUUUUCUCGGAAUGCCAUAAAAAUUAAUAUGUCUUUCGGAUAAAGGUAAUCAAAUACGUAUUUUUCUGAGACUCAUGAACAGAAGAUAUAAUAAUAAUUCACAUAGGGAAUCAAGAAUAUAGAUACCUCUAGUAUUUUUAUGAAUAGAGUCAUUUAUGAAAAUUGUACCUUUACUCGUUUUGUUUGUGACGUAUAGAUCAUGCCAAAAAAAUAAGGGAUAACCUUAAUAUAACCUGAGCCAAUUCUCUUAACAAUCCGUCCAAGAAACUCUUCUCUCCUUUCAUCUAUGUCCUUCAUUUUUCAAUUUCAUUUGGUCCUUUUUCCCCUCCUUUCGUCUCCUCCCAUACACCUCCUGUCACCCAUGUGUCAUCCACUCCCAAUAACAGCUCGAAGCUCCAGUCAAACCAUCAUACCAAACACAUAUCCUCCUCUGCACAUUCUGUCAUAACAUAGGCAACAAUCUGAACUUCGAGAAACACAACAAGCUUUACAUUAUGCAUAUUAAUUUGGUCACUCCCCUUAAUCUAUUUAUCAAUAAAGUGACAUCAUUGAAAUUAGUCCUUAUAUUGUGAGAAACUAGAGCAAAUAAUGGACAAUUGAAGAAUUCAAGCUAUCAUCUAUUACACAGUAAUACUCUAGACAAAACAAAGCUACUUUCGAAGCUAUAAUAGGUCAUAAAAC
rnacentral:lncRNA from 1 species